GAGUUUGAUCUUGGCUCAGGACGAACGCUGGCGGCGUGCCUAAAACAUGCAAGUCGAGCGAGAUCUUCGGAUCUAGCGGCGAACGGCGGAGUAACACAUGAACAACGUGCCUCGAAGUCUGGGAUAUACAGCCGAAAGGCUGGGCAAUACCGGAUGUGGAUGGAAGAUUGCAUGAUCUUUCAUUUGAAGGAGCAAUUCGCUUCGGGAGCGGUUCAUGACUCAUCAGCUAGUUGGUAGGGUAAAGGCCUACCAAGGCGGCGACGGGUAGGGGGUCUGAGAGGAUGAUCCCCCCGAGUGGGACUGAGACACGGCCCACACACCUACGGGAGGCAGCAGUGGGGAAUAUUGGACAAUGGGCGAAAGCCUGAUCCAGCAAUGCCGCGUGAGUGAUGAAGGCCCUAGGGUUGUAAAGCUCUUUUACCCGGGAUGAUAAUGACAGUACCGGGAGAAUAAGCACCGGCUAACUUCGUGCCAG
rnacentral:rRNA from 1 species